rnacentral:rRNA from 1 species
CUCAGUUCGGAUUGCAGCCUGCAACUCGGCUGCAUGAAGCCGGAAUCGCUAGUAAUCGCGGAUCAGAACGCCGCGGUGAAUACGUUCCCGGGUCUUGUACACACCGCCCGUCACACCAUGGGAGUUGGGAAUGCCCGAAGUCGGUGACCGAACCGAAAGGAAGGAGCCGCCGAAGGCAGGUCUGGUGACUGGGGUGAAGUCGUAACAAGGUAAC